AUGGGGGAGGGGCAGAGAGAGAGGGAGAGAGAGAAGGAGACACAGAAUCCAAAGCAGGCUCCGGGCUCUGAGCUGUCUUCGCGGAGCCCGAUGCCCAGCUCGGACCCAUGAACCGCGAGAUCAUGACCUGAGCGGAAGUUGGAUGGCCGCUCCCUGGCGAGCCUCCCCCACCGGCUCCCGGGGUCACGUGGUCUGCUCCCGGGGUCACGUGGUCCGCUCCCGGAAGAAAGCGAGGGCGUGAGAGGCUGUGUGCACCAGAGGUUUGCGGUUUAGCUCUUUUCAUUCCUCCCGUGUUGUCGCUGUUUCGAACACUUCGUGUGGCUUUGGAGGCAAUGGCUUGAGCCUUAAUAAGAUACAGAGAAAUCGGAGGCAAGGAGGCCUGGUGGUAAAUAUGGAGCUUUUAUUUGGCGCCGCAGGUGUUCCUCGGUCCUGCCUGCUCCCGGGGCAGGCAUGCCUGUGGGGCCGAGAUGACCUGGAGGGGGGAUGGCCAGAGAGUUGUGCUUGGAGCCCAGCUGCGGAAUAACACUUGGAAACAUAAAACCCAAGGUGGAAAGUGAGAAUCUCAAGAAACAGAAAAACAAAUCCCCGACUCACCCACCGCCGCCUGAAUGAAGGAGGAGUCGACAGAGGACACGGCUGUAGGAUUGUAAGUGGUCGGCAAGCCCUGCUGGAAGAUGGGAUUCACCCAGUUGGUUCCCCCCAGAGACAGGCAUUUGGGCACUUGUCUGGGUCUCCUCAGGAGGCACGGGUUCCCAGGGGGGUUUGAUUCCAGCUGAAGCCUCCCCAGUUCUCAGGUGACAGGUGUUUGACCUACACCUCUUGAAAGCCCGCUUCUGGCCUUGUGACUCUGUCAGGGUCUCUGGUAUCCUGUGGGCAGCCUGGCGGCUAGCCUUGGGGAUACAGUGGCUAACAGUGGGCUCUGCCCUCCUACAAUUCUCAGUUGGAGGGAGAGCCAGAAAAAUGAGCAGGCAGGUGGACAGACAGGGGAGCCUCACCUCGAGGAAGCCUCUCCCUGCGAAAGCAUUAUACCCGUAGAAAUCUGAAAGAGGAGUAGAAUUUAUCCAGGUGUUGGAGAUGGUGGGGGUGAGGGGGGAUUCUGGGCUGAAGGGAAAGCAUGCGCAAAGGUCAGGAAGUAAGAAAGAGGAUGUUGUAUUUGCAUGGUGGGCAUGACCCCUAGGAGAGAGCUUUCUAGCAACAAACGUUAGUUGAGUGCCACUACGUGCUUCGGUAAUAGUGAGCCAGUCCACAGAAUGGGUUGUGCCACUCUCCAGUACCUGCUUUUCCAAUGGUAGACCCUUACUUCUCUGUCCUCCUGCUUCUUCCUCAUACAGCUCAUACAUCGACUGGCUCCCUUCCUUGGGUUUAUUCCAUGCAUUAGCGGAAUACAAAUAACAUUGGAAGAAGCAAGAAAGAUGGACAUGAAUUUCACUUUCAAGAGGUUGCCCAAGAACAAGCAGUUGGUCGAUGAGAUGGCUCCAUAGAGCCUCCAAAUGAGAUGGGUUGGAAAAGGAGACAAACACCACGGGCCUGAUGACUUAAACAUCGAUGCGCCCUGAGCAAACAGGAGGGAAAGAGCGGCCGACACCUGCUUGGUAAUCAGCUUUGUCAUUCAUGCAGAUAUUGUGAGGACAAUUCCUUGCCGAAGCCUGGAAAAUCUUAGCUUUGUUCGGUGCAAGGCAACAGACAGGCCCUGUUUCCAGGCGCAGCUCUUGCUUCAGCAAUCAAGAGUGGCCACGAGUAACUCUGGACCUACCUACCUGUGGAUCUCCUUGACCUUCGCCAACACUUCUGCCUCCCCCCCUGCCUCUUCUUCCCCCAGUGUUGGGACUCCUGUCAAAUCCUGUAUUUAAAACGAGAAUCCUGGAAAAGUUGGUCAUUGCCAGCACAUAAUGACAGGUUGGCUAAUUGAUAGUGUGCCUUCAAAAAUGGGAGUAGGACAAACAAGGCAGCUAAUUUUGAUAAUGAACAGAUUCGAGGCAAACAGGCGACAGCGUCCUUUGCAUAUGGUUCCACACCAGCCGUGUGUUUGUUUGGAUUCUAUGUUAAUUUUAGAAACUGUAAAACACCACAUGCCAAAUUGGUUGAUUGAAAUAAUGCUACUUCCCAGAGGCUGACAAUCUGUUGUUUCUUGCAGGAGGCAAGAGGUUACCCGAUGAGUGUUGACUUAGUUGCAGGCAAGAGUCUCAUGGAGAAUAGAGACAGUUGUCCGGGUAAUUCACUGCCUCGGUGAACUGGAUGCUUGGAGUAUUUUGAUGCUGCUUUAUGUCUGUCUGUGUAUCCCUCGAUUCAUGCAUGUGUGCUUCUGUUUGUUGUGUAAUUGGUUCGAUUCCCUUUGCCAGUAUAGACCUUGACUCUAUUUUGAUCUGGAACAUUGCCUUUUUUUUUUUUUAAUGUUCAUUUAUUUUUGAGAGAGAGAGACAGAGACAGAGCUCAAACAGCGAAUGGGGCAGAGAUCGAGGGAGACACAGAAACCAAAGCAGGCUCCAGGAUCUGAGCUGUCAGCACAGAGCCUGAUGCGGGACUCGAACCCAUGAACCGUGAGAUCAUGACCUGAGCUGAAGUCGGACGCUUAACCAACUGAGCCACCCAGGUGCCCCUGGAACAUUGCCUUUUUAGUCAAAGUUAUACAGAGUAUUUUUCCUAAAGGCAUGUCAGGGAAGUUGGUCAUCCUAAAUAAUCUAUAAAUAUUUAUUCCUGAAAGGGAAUUGAUUUUUCGGACUUUUAAAACCCAACAACAUAUAAGUUGCUGUGUUUUAAAAUGAAUGUAUGUAAGGGAGAAAGAAAGGAAGAGAGGUGGUUUGGUUUGUGAUUUUAAAUUUAGACAAACUGAAGAAACAUACUCUUUCUUUAAAUAAAUAAAUACUGUCUGCUAAAUUACAUUGUUGAAUUUUAAAUCCUGUGAUAAAGUGGUACUUAACAGGACUAUAAACAAUAAAGAUAAACAUUUCUGCU